rnacentral:lncRNA from 1 species
UCAUAUUACUUGGAUUUUUUUUUAAACAAGCACCUUUAUAAAACUGCACAAGUAGCAAUAAAUCACUGAUAUCCAUUAGGGGGUAAAUCAGGUUGUUCGUGCUGUUGAAACUAACACAACUAAAAAAACACAUGGAAAUGGGAGAUAUCUUUCACCUCACUGGUUAGAGGACAACCUGCAGAAGACAGUCUGCUACAUUUUGGAGUGAUGCAUUUCAAUUUAGGGGUCGCUAAACAAAGGAACACAACACUUAUUUGUCAUAACUCAUAGAUAUCAUGUUGAAAUCAAUUGUAAGACAGGGGGGGAGAUGAGGUUGCACGUCCUGUUAAAACUAACAGCUCAAAAACCACAUGGAAUCUGGGAAUAAUGUGUACAUCCCUGGUUAGAGGACAAUUUGUAGAAAACAGCUAGCUACAUUUUGAAGUGGUGCAUUUUGAUUCCAGUGGGUCACCAACGUGGUAAGUGGAACACAACUCUUUUUGUGUUAGUCACUUUUUGUUAAAUCACAUAAAUAGUAACUCUUCCAUUUCAGAGCCUGGAUUUUCCCCCUGAGGCUAAUAUCCAUAUCAUGUUGAAAUCAAUAGAACAGGGGACAAACGUUUAGGGUUCUACAUUGUGACAUCAUUAAAAUACUCCUUCUACAAUGUUAAAACAUUCUACAUUGUGAGAUUUCAUUUCAUUGAUAUCAUGAAACAAUUCCUUCAUGUAUGUAUUUUCUGAUGUUUGAUCAGAGAUCUUUUAUCAGAGUAUCUCUUCCCACAUAUAUCACAGCUAUAAGGUUUCUCUCCUGUGUGUGUUCUCUGGUGUUGAGUCAGAGUGCUAGAUGCUGCAAAACUCUUCCCACAUUGACCACAGCUAUAAUAUUUAUCUCCUGUGUGUGUUCUCUGGUGUAGAGUCAGAGUGCUAGAUGCAGCAAAACUCUUCCCACAUUGACCACAGCUAUAAGGUUUCUCUCCUGUGUGUGUUCUCUGAUGAAUUUUAAUGCCUGAUGAGGUGAAUCUCUUCCCACAGUCAGAGGAGCAGUGAGUUCUCUUCCCUGUGGAUCUCUGCAGGUGUUUAUUGAGGUGUUCUAAUGUGGAGAGACUCUUCUCUGCCUCUUCAGCAUCAUGAUGUUGUUGAGGCUCCCCAGAGGAUCCACGAUAGUCCCAUAUCUCUCCUGU